rnacentral:rRNA from 1 species
GAUGAACGCUAGCUACAGGCUUAACACAUGCAAGUCGAGGGGCAGCACUAGGUAGCAAUACUGAGGUGGCGACCGGCGCACGGGUGCGUAACGCGUAUCCAACCUUCCCGUUACUCUUGGAUAGCCUUCCGAAAGGGAGAUUAAUACAAGAUGGUAUUCAAAUUCCGCAUGUUAUUUGAAUUAAAGAUUUAUCGGUAACGGAUGGGGAUGCGUGACAUUAGAUAGUAGGCGGGGUAACGGCCCACCUAGUCUACGAUGACUAGGGGUUCUGAGAGGAAGGUCCCCCAAACUGGAACUGAGACACGGUCCAGACUCCUACGGGAGGGAGCAGUGAGGAAUAUUGGUCAAUGGUCGGAAGACUGAACCAGCCAAGUAGCGUGAAGGAUGAAGGUUCUAUGGAUUGUAAACUUCUUUUAUACGGGAAUAAAACCUCCCACGUGUGGGAGCUUGUAUGUACCGUAUGAAUAAGCAUCGGCUAACUCCGUGCCAGCCGCCGCCGUAAGAC